UACGAAGGGGGCUAGCGUUGCUCGGAAUCACUGGGCGUAAAGCGCACGUAGGCGGACUCUUAAGUCGGUGGUGAAAUCCUGGAGCUCAACUCCAGAACUGCCUUCGAUACUGGGAGUCUCGAGUCCGGGAGAGGUGAGUGGAACUGCGAGUGUAGAGGUGAAAUUCGUAGAUAUUCGCAAGAACACCAGUAGCGAAGGCGGCUCACUGGCCCGGUACUGACGCUGAGGUGCGAAAGCGUGGGGAGCAAACAGG
rnacentral:rRNA from 1 species